UGGGGAAUAUUGCACAAUGGGCGCAAGCCUGAUGCAGCAACGCCGCGUGAACGAUGAAGGUCUUCGGAUCGUAAAGUUCUGUUGCAGGGGAAGAUAAUGACGGUACCCUGUGAGGAAGCCCCGGCUAACUACGUGCCAGCAGCCGCGGUAAUACGUAGGGGGCUAGCGUUAUCCGGAUUUACUGGGCGUAAAGGGUGCGUAGGUGGUCUUUCAAGUCGGUGGUUAAAGGCUACGGCUCAACCGUAGUUAGCCUCCGAAACUGGAAGACUUGAGAGCAGGAGAGGAAAGUGGAAUUCCCAGUGUAGCGGUGAAAUGCGUAGAUAUUGGGAGGAACACCAGUAGCGAAGGCGGCUUUCUGGACUGCAACUGACACUGAGGCACGAAAGCGUGGGUAGCAAACAGG
rnacentral:rRNA from 1 species